UUUAAAUCUCGCUAUUUUAUUUUUACUGCAAAUAGAUGUUUUUCGUGAAACCUUUAAUGCUCGAGUUUUUUCGUACGCUAGAAGACACUCGGUCUAAUUCUCUAAUACGUUAAUUAUUCAUCACUGAAAGCGUGUGUUGCGUUCGCUUUAUUUCCGCUCAUAAACUACACGGUUGUGCACCGUGAUGGGUAAUUACUAUUCUACUAAAACCCAACGGUAAAACAUGACGUUUAUGUGUAAAGUACAAACCCUCGAAAGUAGCUGAAUGACAUACCAAGCUUCUCUUGACCUCACAUCAGUGGGUAUUUAAAGUAUAAACUGUACUUUUAUGUGUUACCGAAUCGAGUAAAAAGACACACAGUGCAAGUUUACGCAAGCAGAACACAAAUUAUAAGCAUAAAUUAAAACUAAUGGACUAUGCUCAAAAACAUAUGGUAAAUGUAAAUUUUGUUUCCAAAAUGUCGUAUAGGAGUGUAUAGAGUUUCCAGUUCAAAAAAUGUAGUCAAAAAUAAAUACAACUUUAAACAAUGAAAGCUCAGCGGUUAUGUUUUUAUGAUUAACCAAUCACAGUUAAAUUUACUACCGGUUAAUUGAGUUUAAAAUAAUCGAAACUUUAAUAUGUUGUUGGGUUAAGUAGAAAGAAAGAAAAAAAUAUGAUACUUUACUAUUUCAUAGCCUUAGACUUGAUUUGCAUGAAGGAUUUGCAACUACAUCAAAGAUUAAACGAGCAACGUUGUUUGCGAUAUACCCUCGUUAAAAAUUAUUUCAAGUUUUAGUGUCGAACAAAUGAGAGAGUUUUAAACGCCUACAUUGCAAAAAAAAAUCUGUGAAAAUAUUUCAAGAUAAUUAAUGGAAACUAAGAUAGUGAACAAGGAUAAGAACAAAGUACUAUUCCGGAAAGUUACAAACGUUUAUCAAAAUAAUAUAGUAAUACAUUCGAAAUGCAAUUGGUUUAUAUGAUCUAUAAAGUACAACAAACUUGGUUAUUUGAACUUUCUUUAACGAAGAAAAGAAAUGAAUCGAAGGGAGAAAUACGUAUUUUUGCUUUUAAGCUCAUAACACUCAUUGGUAAUACUUUUGGGCUGAGGUCUAAUAAAAAGGUCAAACACAUUAAAAGUUAUGAUGGAAUUAGAAAACGGAAUUUUAUAUUUCCUACAAGCACGACAAAAAUAUAAAUUCAUCGUAAAAUCACUCAUUUAUUAUCCUCUUUAAAAUUAAUACUUUUCUUUCAAUAAAUUAAAUUUAUUCGUCGUAGGUUUUUAUAGGUUAGGGCAUUGACAAUGACGAGUUCCAUUAAUUAUAUUAUUUUAAAAACAUGUACCGGGAAAUGCUACUAGUUUGAAAAUAUUGGAAUGUCAAGUAAAUGCUUUGCAAUUUUUGUUAGCAAUUACUUGGCAUUCCAAGUUUACGUUGAUUAUAAAAAAAUAAUAGUUUUCGAUUUUCGAGCAAACAUGUAUUUUACUUUGUGUAGCAUCUUAGUGAAUAAUUGAUUUUUUUUUUACUGUCUUUAACAGAAAUAAAAACGAUUUCUUCAAAGAACGUGGACAUAAAACAAAUAUCGGUUGUGUUCAGUAAAACUAUAAAAGUAUUGUGUCAUUUCGAAUACUAAAGUUGCCCAUCAAAUUAUUCAAAAGUCAGAAUCGAUUUUAUUUAGGUUAUUUUACAAUUUCACUUAUAUUACACAAUGAAGUUGACGCAAACCAAGAAAUCAAAUAUUUUUUAAAAAAUAACAAACAUGUCAGUUGUCGAAUAUUUGUCUAUUUUUUUAUCUCAUUUUUUA